GGCCCUUUGGUGCAGUGGAUAGCACAUUGGACUUCUAAUCCAAAGGUCGCGGGUUCGACCCCCGCAAGGGCUC
rnacentral:tRNA from 1 species